AUGCUGAUUCACCCCCUGAAGAGAAACCUCUUAAGAAACCUGAGACUCUCCCCAACGAAAGUGUUUCUGCAAAAGAAAAUACUUGCAGACCCAAUUGAGGCAUGCAAACCAAUACCUCUUGACAAACAUGUAAGCAAGGGUGAACAAAAAUCAGAUAGGUUUGCCAAUAGUUCACUAUGUGAAACAUCAGCCGUAUCUCAGUUAAGAGUGAGAGUGAGACGCGAAACUUGCGGAAAAGGGUUUGUGCCUUAUAAAAGGUGCAUGUCAAAGAAAGAAAUCCAGUCUUCAUCUGCAACAACUGAUGAAAGAUAA